GACGAACGCUGGCGGCGUGCUUAACACAUGCAAGUCGAGCGGAAAGGCCACUUCGGUGGUACUCGAGCGGCGAACGGGUGAGUAACACGUGAGUAAUCUGCCCCUGGCUUUGGGAUAGCCACCGGAAACGGUGAUUAAUACCGGAUACGACCACUUCUCGCAUGGGAUGGUGGUGGAAAGUUUUUUCGGCCAGGGGUGUGCUCGCGGCCUAUCAGCUUGAUGGUUGGGUAAGGGCUCACCAUGGCUUCGACGGGUAGCCGGCCUGAGAGGGUGACCGGUCACACUGGGACUGAGACACGGCCCAGACUCCUACGGGAGGCAGCAGUGGGGAAUAUUGGACAACGGGCGGAAGCCUGAUCCAGCAACGCCGCGUGAGGGAUGACGGCCUUCGGGUUGUAAACCUCUUUCAGCAGGGACGAAGCGCAAGUGACGGUACCUGCAGAAGAAGCACCGGCCAACUACGUGCCAGCAGCCGCCGUAA
rnacentral:rRNA from 1 species